rnacentral:rRNA from 1 species
ACGAACGCUGGCGGCGUGCCUAAUACAUGCAAGUCGAACGGUCUUUCUAUGGAAGCUUGCUUCCACUGAGAAGAUAGUGGCGAACGGGUGAGUAACACGUGGGUAACCUGCCCAUAAGAGGGGGAUAACAUCCGGAAACGGGUGCUAAUACCGCAUAGUUUUCUUGAUUGCAUGAUUGAGAAGGAAAGACGGCCUUUGUGCUGUCGCUUAUGGAUGGACCCGCGGCGUAUUAGUUAGUUGGUGAGGUAACGGCUCACCAAGACGAUGAUACGUAGCCGACCUGAGAGGGUGAUCGGCCACAUUGGGACUGAGACACGGCCCAAACUCCUACGGGAGGCAGCAGUAGGGAAUCUUCCGCAAUGGACGAAAGUCUGACGGAGCAACGCCGCGUGAGUGAAGAAAAGGUUUUCGGAUCGUAAAACUCUGUUGUCAGAGAAGAACAAGUUGGAGAGUAACUGCUCCAGCCUUGACGGUAUCUGACCAGAAAGCCACGGCUAACUACGUGCCAGCCGCAGC